rnacentral:rRNA from 1 species
CAGGAUUAGAUACCCUGGUAGUCCACGCCGUAAACGAUGUCGACUUGGAGGUUGUGCCCUUGAGGCGUGGCUUCCGGAGCUAACGCGUUAAGUCGACCGCCUGGGGAGUACGGCCGCAAGGUUAAAACUCAAAUGAAUUGACGGGGGCCCGCACAAGCGGUGGAGCAUGUGGUUUAAUUCGAUGCAACGCGAAGAACCUUACCUGGUCUUGACAUCCACAGAACUUUCCAGAGAUGGAUUGGUGCCUUCGGGAACUGUGAGACAGGUGCUGCAUGGCUGUCGUCAGCUCGUGUUGUGAAAUGUUGGGUUAAGUCCCGCAACGAGCGCAACCCUUAUCCUUUGUUGCCAGCGGUCCGGCCGGGAACUCAAAGGAGACUGCCAGUGAUAAACUGGAGGAAGGUGGGGAUGACGUCAAGUCAUCAUGGCCCUUACGACCAGGGCUACACACGUGCUACAAUGGCGCAUACAAAGAGAAGCGACCUCGCGAGAGCAAGCGGACCUCAUAAAGUGCGUCGUAGUCCGGAUUGGAGUCUGCAACUCGACUCCAUGAAGUCGGAAUCGCUAGUAAUCGUGGAUCAGAAUGCCACGGUGAAUACGUUCCCGGGCCUUGUACACACCGCCCGUCACACCAUGGGAGUGGGUUGCAAAAGAAGUAGGUAGCUUAACCUUCGGGAGGGCGCUUACCACUUUGUGAUUCAUGACUGGGGUGAAGUCGUAACAAGGUAACC